rnacentral:rRNA from 1 species
GAUGAACGCUGACACCCUUUUUAGCACAUGCAAGUCUACUUGAUCCUUCGGGUGAUGGUGGCGGACGGGUGAGUAACGCGUAAAGAACUUGCCCUGCAGUCUAGGACAACAUUUGGAAACGAAUGCUAAUACCGGAUAUUAUGUGAGUUUCGCAUGAAAUUCAUAUGAAAGCUAUAUGCGCUGCAGGAGAGCUUUGCGUCCUAUUAGCUAGUUGGUGAGGUAACGGCUCACCAAGGCGAUGAUAGGUAGCCGGCCUGAGAGGGUGAACGGCCACAAGGGGACUGAGACACGGCCCUUACUCCUACGGGAGGCAGCAGUGGGGAAUAUUGGACAAUGGACCAAAAGUCUGAUCCAGCAAUUCUGUGUGCACGAUGAAGUUUUUCGGAAUGUAAAGUGCUUUCAGUUGGGACGAAGUAAGUGACGGUACCAACAGAAGAAGCGACGGCUAAAUACGUGCCAGCAGCCGCGGUAAUACGUAUGUCGCAAGCGUUAUCCGGAUUUAUUGGGCGUAAAGCGCGUCUAGGCGGUUUGGUAAGUCUGAUGUGAAAAUGCGGGGCUCAACUCCGUAUUGCGUUGGAAACUGCCAAACUAGAGUACUGGAGAGGUGGGCGGAACUACAAGUGUAGAGGUGAAAUUCGUAGAUAUUUGUAGGAAUGCCGAUGGGGAAGCCAGCCCACUGGACAGAUACUGACGCUAAAGCGCGAAAGCGUGGGUAGCAAACAGG